GGGCGCAUGGUGUAGUUGGUUAUCACAUCCGCUUAGCAACGUUUGAUCACCGUUGAUAUGCGGGGGGUGCUGGGUUCAAUUCCCAGUGCGUCCA